GGUGACUGCGGAAGGAUCAUUAUAGUACAACGGAGGCACCUGGGCUGUCGCUGACCUUUGAAUAAAAAGGACGUGCACGCCCAGAGUGCUCUCUCACAUCCAUCUCACCCCUUUGUGCAUAAUCGCGUGGGACCCUCUCUUUUGGCUUGUUCCGGAGGGGGGUUCACGUUUUUACACGAACAACCCAUUAAUGCAUGUGUAGAAUGUCCUACUUAUUUUAAAUACAACUUUCAACAACGGAUCUCUUGGCUCUCGCAUCGAUGAAGAACGCAGCGAAAUGCGAUACGUAAUGUGAAUUGCAGAAUUCAGUGAAUCAUCGAAUCUUUGAACGCACCUUGCACCCCUUGGUAUUCCGAGGGGUGCACCCGUUUGAGUGUCGUGAACACCCUCAACCUUCUUGGUUUAUUGACCGGGGAAGGCUUGGACUUUGGAGGUUUUUGUUGCUGGCCUCAUUUGAAGCCAGCUCCUCCUAAAUGAAUUAGUGGGGUCCGCUGUGCAGAUCCUUGACGUGAUAAGUAUGCUUCUACGUCUUGGGGUUUCGUACCGUUCCCGCUUCCAACUCUGAGUUGUGACUCGACCUUAUAAACCUUGACCUCAAAUCGGGUGAGACUACCCGCUGAACUUAAGCAUAUC
rnacentral:rRNA from 1 species